GCUUUAAUUAACUAACCCAAACUUAUGAACAUUAUUCACCUACAAGGCAUAACAUACUACCAUUGCUAUGGGUUAGCAAUUUAGGUUGGGGUGACCUCGGAAGAUAAAAAAACUCCCGAGUGAUUAAAAUUUAGACCUACUAGUCAAAAUGUAGUAUCACUUAUUGAUCCAAUAACUUUGAUCAACGGAACAAGUUACC
rnacentral:rRNA from 1 species